UAGGGAAUCUUCGGCAAUGGACGAAAGUCUGACCGAGCAACGCCGCGUGAGUGAAGAAGGUUUUCGGAUCGUAAAACUCUGUUGUUAGAGAAGAACAAGGACGUUAGUAACUGAACGUCCCCUGACGGUAUCUAACCAGAAAGCCACGGCUAACUACGUGCCAGCAGCCGCGGUAAUACGUAGGUGGCAAGCGUUGUCCGGAUUUAUUGGGCGUAAAGCGAGCGCAGGCGGUUUCUUAAGUCUGAUGUGAAAGCCCCCGGCUCAACCGGGGAGGGUCAUUGGAAACUGGGAGACUUGAGUGCAGAAGAGGAGAGUGGAAUUCCAUGUGUAGCGGUGAAAUGCGUAGAUAUAUGGAGGAACACCAGUGGCGAAGGCGGCUCUCUGGUCUGUAACUGACGCUGAGGCUCGAAAGCGUGGGGAGCAAAUAGG
rnacentral:rRNA from 1 species